rnacentral:rRNA from 1 species
AUUGAACGCUGGCGGCAUGCCUUAUACAUGCAAGUCGAACGGUAACAGGUUAAGCUGACGAGUGGCGAACGGGUGAGUAAUAUAUCGGAACGUGCCCAGUCGUGGGGGAUAACGUAGCGAAAGCUACGCUAAUACCGCAUACGAUCUACGGAUGAAAGCGGGGGAUCGCAAGACCUCGCGCGAUUGGAGCGGCCGAUAUCAGAUUAGGUUGUUGGUGAGGUAAAUGCUCACCAAGCCUGCGAUCUGUAGCUGGUCUGAGAGGACGACCAGCCACACUGAAACUGAGACACGGUCCAGACUACUGCGGGAGGCAGCAGUGGGGAAUUUUGGAGAAUGGACGACAGUCUGAGCCAGCAAUGCCGCGUGCAGGACGAAGGCCUUCGGGUUGUAAACUGCUUUUGUACGGAACGAAACGGUGAGCUCUAAUACAGUUUGCUAAUGACGGUACCGUAAGAAUAAGCACCGGCUAACUACGUGCCAGCCGCCGCGGUAA